GUAGUCGCGAGGUUUUGCUUUUUAUUGUGUGGCACAUUCUAAUUUUGGAUGCCUCGGAGCCAACGAGCAGCAGCGGCGGUAGCAGCAUGGCUGACGCAGUUUUCCAAUGGAGGAAAAACAUGGCAGGAUCAUCACUGUUGCUUCAGUAUAGCGUGAGUCCGAAAGGAUAACAUUAUCAGUGUGGUUGUGUGUGUGUGCAUAGAAAAUAGUAGGGGUGAGUGUGUGUGCCUAGCUCUUGUUUACGACACGAUGACGAUUAUUGCGGUGAUGAUGGAAGGCCCCCUGCAGCUCCUGUGCCUCGAAUGGAUCGUUUCCUAGGCGAAUCCACUCGACAAAAUUGACGGACAUCCGACAGCCAUUGUUUGUCCACACACCCACAAACACAAACUUCCGGCUUCCAUUAGUUCGCUCGGCGGGUCCUCUCUUCACAGCUUGCAACGCAACACUCGGCUCUGUCUCUCCCGGGAUGACCGGUUCUUUCCGCCUAUUCGACUGAAGCGUUCGGCUGUGGCCCGUUUCCCAAAUAUUUCACUACUGUGCUACAGAAAUGGACUACCCCGACCGGUAUGUAAUGUUCGCCAAGAGGACCUCCAAACAACACGCUACCCUACGGAUGACCGAUCUCUUGCUGGGUCUCAGAGAAAACGAUAGUUCCCUUCGGAGUGUUACGUAAUGUAUGACACUACUAGUGCAGUCCGUACGGUCAAUUGGUCUCGUAAAAAAACCCGUAGAAAGCACCAAACGAGAACAGUGGAGGCAACUCAGACUAAUUGAAAUAGCGCACUAGCCAUGGAAGACAGACUGUCAUAAUAAAAUCAUAAAUCUG